GGGGCUAUAGUAUAGCUUGGUCUAGUAUCGGCCCUUGGGGUGGGUCGGGCGCCGGUUCAAAUCCGGCUAGCCCCA
rnacentral:tRNA from 1 species